AUGGAUCUUCUAACUCCCAAGCUGAAGUACAACCCACUUCGAAAUGAGUCUCAGUCAUCACUGGAGGAAGGGGCUUCAGGGUCCACUCCCCCGGAAGAGCUGCCUCCCAUCAGCCUUAUCCUUGGGACCCAUUCUGCCAACUCUGCCUGAGGACGAUAGUCCCACUACCCUGUGCUCCUUCUUCCCUCGGAUGGGCAACCUCAAGCUGGCCAAUCCUGCUGAGGGGCGCCUGGGGCCUAAGGAGUCGGGGCAGGAAAAGCCACUGAAAAUGGGGAAGGGGUUGCUGGGGCAGCUGGACGGGACUCAGGCCUCUUGCCCCUCCUCCACAAGCUGGGUGGAGGCGGUGAGUGCAGGACUCGGGUAGAAGGGGGCCAGCUGGGGGGCGAGGUGUGGACCAGACACCAGGGCUUUAUCAAUAAGCCCACACAGGCCUGGCUGCAUCUCAACGACAAAAUCAUGGGACCUGGGUUUCCUAUUUGGUUCGGUACAUGGGUUGUGUGGAGGUUCUGCAGUCAAUGCGAGCCCUUGACUUCAAUACCCGGACUCAGAUCACCAGGGAGGCCAUCAGUUUGGUGUUUGAGGCUGUGCUGGGUGCUAAGGGGGCGACAAGGAGAAGAAAGCCCUGUAACCACCCACUUAGCUCUAUCUUCGGGAGGAGUAACCUGAAGUUCUCUGGAAUGCCAGUCACUUUCACUGUGUCCACCAGCAGCCUUAACCUCAAGGCCGCAGACUGCAAACAGAUCAUUGCCAACCAUCACAUGCAAUCCGGAUACAGCCGAGUAUGUCACCUAUGUUGCCAAAGACCCUGUGAAUCAGAGAGCCUGCCACAUCCUGAAGUGUCCUGAAGGGCUUGCCCAGGACGUCAUCAGCACCAUUGGUCAGGCCUUUGAGUUGUAGCUUCAAACAAUAUGUCAGGAACCCUCCCAAGCUGGUCACCCCGCAUGACAGGAUAGCUGGCUUUGAUGACUCAGCUUGGGAUGAGGAAGAGGACAACCACCUGACCAUAAGUACUAUAAUGACUUCCCGAGAAAAGAACCCCCUCUCAGUAGUGCGGUAGACAUGAGGCUUCGGCAAGGGGCUGCUUCAGGAGCUGUUCGACCCACUUUGCCCAGUGCCCAAAUGCCCAGGCAUCUGGGAGCUACAUUGCCUGUAGGGCAACCAACUGUAGGAGACUCCGAAGUCCAAAGACAGAUUCUUCCUCCACCACCCUGCACAGAACCCUUUGAAGAUGCCCUUCGAGUGCCUCCACCUUCCCAGUCUAUGUUCUCCACUGAGCAACUUCAAGGGGAGACCUGGUUCCAUUGGAAGCCGAGCCGGCUGGAGGCAGAGGCACUGCUGCAGCUCAAUGGGUCUUCUUAGUGUGAGAGAGCAGCACCACACCUGGCCAGUAUGUACUCACUGGCCUGCAAAGUGGGCAGCCCAAGCACCUGCUUCUGCUGGACCCUGAAGGUGUAGUUAGAACAAAGGAUCAACACUUUGAGAGUGUCAGUCACCUCAUCAGCUACCACAUGGACAGUCACUUGCCCAUCACCUCUGCAGGCAGCAAACUGUGUCUACAGCAACCUGUGGAGCAGAAACUGAUUGGUCUAGGCUUCUCUCCUGGAAGAUACCACCAGCCUCUUCUACCCUGUUGUUUAACCCGCAGGACCUCUGUUCUGUGGGUUUGGCCUUGGGUGGGAGCUGGGAGUAGAGUGGACACUGGGUUUAAUGCCCACCUGAGAGAGAGGGUUUGA